UAGAAUCCCUCCUCCUCUUUGGCUUCUGUUUACUGCAGGAAGCUGCAAACAUUUUAGAUGACCUUGCAAAGAAAAACUAAAUCAGGUGUCACGUUCCAAUUCAAAGCCACUAAGCAGCGUGACCCGGGGAGUGGAAAAUGAGACAGAAGAUGGCAAAGAAGAGUCAGCUGAGGAAUUACAAUAAGGAGAUCGUAUGGAAUUUCUGUUCACAAUUAGAAUGAGAAAAUGUGAAAACUGUAAGCUCAAGUUCAUCCCUGAGAAGAGGAGAAGAGCAAACAGCCUGUGACCCGCACCAGCCUAGGACUGAGGGCAUGGGUGACACUGAAACCAUCUACAAGCAACAAACUCUGGAAUGGGACUGACAGUGGUCCUUGCACUGCCUUCUAAUGGAAUGAAGCUGGAUACGGGGCCAUGGUGCCCGACUGAAGGGUGACCUAAUGACUGCAGCCCUUUGCCUGAGCAAUAUGCUUGUGGCCCCAGCUCCCUGAAGGACAGGGAUUUACAGGGAAGGUGGAACA